rnacentral:ncRNA from 1 species
ACCAAGGAGAGUAACAUGUGCGCGAGUCAUUGGGCGUAACGAAACCCAAAGGCGAAGUGAAAGUGAAGGUCUGGCUUGUCCGGACUGAGGUGAGAUCCUGUCGUGCCUCAUGCGCGGUAUCACCAAGCAUCGAGCGGCAGGCGCAUCACCGGCCCGUCCCAUGGUGUGAUGACCCUAUUCAGAGUUUGUCAUCGGGGCGGAGCAUGAGCGUACAUGUUGAGACCCGAAAGAUGGUGAACUAUGCUUGCGCAGGUUGAAGCCAGAGGAAACUCUGGUGGAGGACCGCAGCGAUUCUGACGUGCAAAUCGAUCGUCAGACGUGAGUAUAGGGGCGAAAGACUAAUCGAACCAUCUAGUAGCUGGUUCCCUCCGAAGUUUCCCUCAGGAUAGCUGGUGUUCAGAGAUAUAAACAGUUUUAUCCGGUAAAGCGAAUGAUUAGAGGCCUUGGGGGCGAAACGUCCUCAACCUAUUCUCAAACUUUGAAUGGGUGAGAAGCCUGACUCGCCCAAACGGAGUCAGGCGUUGAAUGUGAAUGCCAAGUGGGCCAUUUUUGGUAAGCAGAACUGGCGCUGUGGGAUGAACCAAACGUUCGGUUAAGGUGCCUAACGCGACGCUCAUCAGAUACCACAAAAGGUGUUGGUUGGUCUAGACAGCAGGACGGUGGCAAUGGAAGUCGGAACCCGCUAAGGAGUGUGUAACAACUCACCUGCCGAAUCAACCAGCCCUGAAAAUGGAUGGCGCUGGAGCGUCGGACCUAUACCGGACCGUCACUGCAAGCUGAGUCGGUAAUGUGUGGUGUGAGGGCAAGUCACACGACUCAGGCACGGAAUUGUGGUGACGAGUAGGAGGGUCGCCGUGGUGAGCAGGAAGCUUCGGGCGUGAGCCUGAGUGGAGCCGCCACGGGUGCAGAUCUUGGUGGUAGUAGCAAAUAUUCAAGUGAGAACCUUGAAGGCCGAGGUGGAGAAGGGUUCCAUGGGAACAGCAGUUGGCCAUGGGUCAGGCGGUCCUAAGUGAUCCGUUAACUCGGAACAGAGACGGGGUGCCUGACAUUGUCAGGAUUGCUGCUGAUGUACUGUUGCAAGGCAGCCCCCUGUAGCGAAAGGGAAUCGGGUUAAUAUUCCCGACCCUGCCCACGGAGAUUGGUGCAUUCUGGUCUCGCACCGGUUUGCAUCUAGCGCGGUAACGCAACCGACCUCGGAGACGUCGGCAAGAGUUCUGGGAAGAGUUCUCUUUUCUUUAUUAGGAGUGCAUCAUCCCCUGGAAUCGGGUUGUCCGGAGAUAGGGGACUAGCCUCCGUAAAGCACCACAUUUCUUGUGGUGUCACCUUGGGACACCUGCGUUACCAUUCAGAGUCGGUGACUUGCGGUCUGGACCGGCCAGCUGGUCUAUGAAGGCCAAAGUCAGGUU